GAGCGACGAGCCCGGAGCACGCACCCGCAGAAGCAAUACGAGCCGUCCUGGUCGCGGCGCCGAACACGAGAGAUCGAGACGGCGCGCAAGUUGCACCGGUCGCCGUCCGAUCGACCCAGGCCGCAAUUGGUGCGUCGCCGGCCUCGAAGCCGACGGCCUGUGCAGGCGUUUGGAGCACCGUCCACGUCGUUUUCGGGGGCUUUGGAUCUCGGCGCGACGAAGAGGACAGGAUGGUAUGGCCGGCACCGUGCGUCCCUGCAGUGAUGAUUUGUCUGUUCCUAUGUGCGUGCGUACAGAUCACAGAUCUGUGCUGUCCUCUUUUUGAUUUGUCGUCAGCUUCACGAGAG
rnacentral:lncRNA from 1 species